GAAAUUACGCCUUCCAUGAAGCCGGAAUUGCUGUAAUGGCAGGUCAGCAUACUGCCGUGAAUACGUUCCCGGGCCUUGUACACACCGCCCGUCACACCAUGAGAGUUGGGGAUACCCGAAGCCUGUGAGCUAACUAUUUAUAGGAGCAGCAGUCGAAGGUAGAAUCAAUGAUUGGGGUGAAGUCGUAACAAGGUACC
rnacentral:rRNA from 1 species